UCAGAUUUGUUAUGUGGUAUGAUCACGUGUAAACUUCAAUGAAACUGUAAAGCAGAGUCCAGAGUUGUUGCGUAUUCCUGUAUCGUAUCAGUGUGGAAGGUACCCCGUAUCAUCCUUCCGUUGCAAAAUGUUGAUACGGCGAUACGCAACGUGCUGUUAGCUCACUUGGCGGUCUUUUGUCGUCGCAUCAAAGGGACGACACGCGUUGCAAUGGUCCCAGUCUGGACGUGCACUCGUUGCAUCGGAGUUUGCUUCUCAGCUCCGCACAAAGGACAGUUUGAGUGUAUAGUCAUCACCAGUGUGCGUUCUUCUAUUUUUGAUUCUAUGUUUCUACUCUGAAUGGAGUGGAGUAAGGAGUUCAUUAUACAUUUAAUCGAUGAAUAUAAGAAGAGGGACUUGAUUUGGAACCCCCAAAACAGAACAUUUCAAUAAAAUAAAAAGGCAGGACUCAUGGGAGGAGGUAGGAAAGGAACUGAACAGAUCAGUUGAGGAAUCUAAAAGAAAAAUGGAGUACUUGCCGGCUUCACCAAGGAAAGAGAGAAUGAAGAUGAAGAAACAGAGGGGAACGGGAAAAGGAGCAGAUGAAGUCUACAAAAGUUCCGAAGCACACAAAAGGUUGAGGAAACGAUACCAAACACAUUCUCUACAACUUGACGGGCUCUGCUCAGUAUAUAGUUAAAAAUCCGUUCCUUGGAGCCCUUCGGAUGGUAACCAGGAUAAACUUUCAUCAAGUUUUCAGACAUGGGAAAGGCUUCAUCUCCAAUGAAAGAGAAUGGUUCCAAGAGAAUGUGAGACAGAGACAGUUGAAGGCAGUGACUACGACGAAGAACCCCUGCACACAUCCAUGAGAAAAAACAGAAGGUCUGUGAUGAAGACCAGCCACUUGACAAAGCUUUCAAAAUACUAACAGCAUCACCCAACGAAAAGAACGACAAAUGCUAACACUUUGAAAAUUUGUUAACCUGCGAAUUGAGGGUAUACGAUGAAUCUAUUCACUGUGCUAUCCAGAACGAUAUGAGUAUUUUUCUUAGGGCAAGCAGUGGUUUUUGUAAAAAUUACAGCACUGUGACUUACAGAACAGGCCCAAAUUCUUUCCUCUACUACAAAGGGUCACCAAAUGCCACUCCCCAACUUCUUCCCCUCAAUUCUUUCCCAGCAGCAAUCGGCAACCUGUCCUGAAUACACCUUCAACAGUUUCCUCCCCUCAAUCUCCUUCACCAGCUAUGGCCUCAGAAGAUGACUUCCUUAUUCAGGACCUUAUAUAAAUGUGUAGAUGUAAUGAUUGUACACAAGUGCCUUUAAUGCAGAAAUACCUGCAUCAAAAUUAAAUUAUUAAAACAAAUCGAUAUUUCACAUUUAGUUUUGCUGUAAUGUGCAAGCUCUGUUUUAUUUCAGAAAUAUCAAAUAAAGUAAUCAAGAAACAAGAAAUCAUAUUGUUUGCUUCAUUUAGUGGUUAAUAACAAGUAUUCACUAGCCUUAAUGAAGUCCUUCAGUGCUUCCACAAGAGCGCCACAAGCUUCAGGGGCAAUGGUGCUGAUUGUUUGCUUCGAUAUGUUGAAGAGGUAUUGAAGACUGACAUGAGUCUCCAGUUGCCAAAAGUCGCAGUGUUACAGCCAG